rnacentral:rRNA from 1 species
AUUAAACGCUGGCGGCAUGCCUUACACAUGCAAGUCGAACGGCAGCACGGGGUGGUAACACUCUGGUGGCGAGUGGCGGACGGGUGAGUAAAGCAUCGGAACGUGCCCUGGAAUGGGGGAGUAACGUAGCGAAAGUUACGCUAAUACCGCAUAUUCUGUGAGCAGGAAAGACAGGGGAUCGCAAGACCUUGCGUUCGAGGAGCGGCCGAUGUCGGAUUAGCUAGUUGGUGGGGUAAAGGCCUACCAAGGCGACGAUCCGUAGCGGGUCUGAGAGGAUGAUCCGCCACACUGGGACUGAGACACGGCCCAGACUCCUACGGGAGGCAGCAGUGGGGAAUUUUGGACAAUGGGCGCAAGCCUGAUCCAGCCAUGCCGCGUG